rnacentral:rRNA from 1 species
AAGCGUUUAUGACCAGACUUGGGCUUGGUUAAUCAUCUGGGGUUCUCCCCAGUGCACUUUUCCAGUCCAGGCCAGCAUCAGUUCGCUGUGGGGGAUAAAGGCUUUGGGAAUGUGGCUCCUCCGGGAGUGUUAUAGCCCAUUGUGUAAUACCCUGUGGUGGACUGAGGUUCGCGCAUCUGCAAGGAUGCUGGCGUAAUGGUCAUCAGCGA